rnacentral:rRNA from 1 species
UACGGAGGGGGCUAGCGUUGUUCGGAAUUACUGGGCGUAAAGCGCGCGUAGGCGGCUUUGUAAGUUAGAGGUGAAAGCCCGGAGCUCAACUCCGGAAUUGCCUUUAAGACUGCAUCGCUAGAAUCAUGGAGAGAUUAGUGGAAUUCCGAGUGUAGAGGUGAAAUUCGUAGAUAUCUGGAGGAACACCGGUGGCGAAGGCGGCAUCCUGGACCGGCAUUGACGCUGAGGAGCGAAAGCCAGGGAGCAAACGGG